CUGAACCAGCCAAGUAGCGCGAAGGAUGACUGUCCUAUGGGUUGUAAACUUCUUUUAUAUGGGAAUAAAGUGAGCCACGUGUGGCUUUUUGUAUGUACCAUACGAAUAAGGAUCGGCUAACUCCGUGCCAGCAGCCGCGGUAAUACGGAGGAUCCGAGCGUUAUCCGGAUUUAUUGGGUUUAAAGGGAGCGUAGGUGGACUGGUAAGUCAGUUGUGAAAGUUUGCGG
rnacentral:rRNA from 1 species